UACGAAGGGGGCUAGCGUUGCUCGGAAUCACUGGGCGUAAAGGGUGCGUAGGCGGGUCUUUAAGUCAGGAGUGAAAUCCUGGAGCUCAACUCCAGAACUGCCUUUGAUACUGAAGAUCUUGAGUUCGGGAGAGGUGAGUGGAACUGCGAGUGUAGAGGUGAAAUUCGUAGAUAUUCGCAAGAACACCAGUGGCGAAGGCGGACU
rnacentral:rRNA from 1 species